GGGAAUAAUGACAGAAAGAAAACAUGUUCAAUGCAGCCAAAGAUUUUGUGAAUAUUUUCAAUCUGUGGUUAGUUGAAUCCAUGGAUGCAGGACCCAUGGAUACGGAGUUAACUGAUAAUGUUAACUGUACUAACAUUAAGUGUAAAUAAAUUUCUGAUUGGCAGUUUAUGUAAGCUGGAAAUGUUUAAGAUAAUGUUCAAAUAACUGUUUUAAAAUACUUUGUUUCAUUUUGGUAAGUCCUUGUUUUAUUUUUUAAAAUUAUGCAAGUUGAGGUAAUCUACUGUUGUUAGAUCAAGUUGCUAAUAUAAUUAUUUUUACUUUUAGAAACUAUGUCAUGGUCAAAACCAGAAACUAAAGGGACAGUGCCACUUCCACGAAGCCUUCAUACAGCCAGUGUUAUAGGAAACAAGAUGUACAUUUUUGGUGGAUGGGUCCCACAUAAGGGGGAAAAUACUGAGACUUCACCUCAUGAUUGUGAAUGGAGAUGUACCAGUUCAUUUUCUUACCUAAAUCUAGAUACAACAGAGUGGACCACCCUAGUAUCAGAUUCUCAGGAAGAU
rnacentral:sRNA from 1 species